rnacentral:tRNA from 2 species
GGGCGGGUAGCUCAGCUGGGAGAGCGUCGGCCUUACAAGCCGGAUGUCACAGGUUCGAGCCCUGUUCCGCCCACCA